rnacentral:rRNA from 1 species
CCCUUAGAUGUUCUGGGCCGCACGCGCGCUACAAUGGUCUUCGCAAACGGAUGCAUUCUCGAAGGAGAAUGCCAAUCUUGGAAUCUAUGCCUUGGUCGGGACAGUUGCUUGCAAUUUUUCGACUCGAACCAGGAAUUCCUUGUAAUCGUGAUUCAUCACAUCACGAUGAAUACGUCCCUGCCCUUUGUACACACCGCCCGUCGCUCCUACCGAUCGAAGAGUUAGGUGAAUUGUUUUGAUCGAUAAGAUUUGACUAUGGUCAACUCUCGUUGUGAAAUUCUGUGAAUCUGACUGUGUAGAGGAAGGAAAAGUCGUAACA